rnacentral:rRNA from 1 species
GCAGCCGCGGUAAUACGUAGGGGGCAAGCGUUGUCCGGAAUGAUUGGGCGUAAAGGGCGCGUAGGCGGCCUGUUAAGUCUGGAGUGAAAUUCCCGCUUUUAAGGUGGGAACUGCUUUGGAUACUGAUGGGCUUGAGUGCAGGAGAGGUAAGCGGAAUUCCCGGUGUAGCGGUGAAAUGCGUAGAGAUCGGGAGGAACACCAGUGGCGAAGGCGGCUUACUGGACUGUAACUGACGCUGAGGCGCGAAAGUGUGGGGAGCAAACAGGAUUAGAUACCCC